UGCUCUAAAAUUAGUGGCGAACGGGUGAGUAAUAUAUUGGAACAUAUCCGGAAGUGGGGGAUAACGUAGCGAAAGUUACGCUAAUACCGCAUAUGCCCUGAGGGGGAAAGGGGGGGAUCGCAAGACCUCUCGCUUUCGGAGUGGCCGAUAUCGGGUUAGCUAGUAGGUGAGGUAAAGGCUCACCUAGGCGACGAUCCGUAGCUGGUCUGAGAGGACGACCAGCCACACUGGAACUGAGACACGGUCCAGACUCCUACGGGAGGCAGCAGUGGGGAAUUUUGGACAAUGGGCGAAAGCCUGAUCCAGCCAUACCGCGUGAGUGAAGAAGGCCUUCGGGUUGUAAAGCUCUUUCAGCCGGAAAGAAAUUGCUUCUAUUAAUACUAGGAGUAGAUGACGGUACCGGAAGAAGAAGCACCGGCUAACUACGUGCCAGCAGCCGCGGUAAUACGUAGGGUGCGAGCGUUAUCGGAAUUACUGGGCGUAAAGCGUGCGCGGCGGUUUUUUAGUCAGAUGUGAAAUCCCCGGGCUCACCUGGGACUGCAUUUGAACUGGAAGACUAGAGUAUACAGAGGGGGUAGAAUUCCCGUGUACAGUGAAUGCGUAGAUAUGUGGAGGAAUACCAAUGGCAAGGCAGCCCCUGGGUAAUACUGACCUCAUGCCGAAACGUGGGGACAAAAGGAUAGAUACCUGGUAGUCCAGCCCUAACGAUGUCACUAGUGUUGGGGAGGAGAUUCCUUAUACGUAGCAACGCGUGAGUGACCGCUGGGAGACGGUGCAGAUAAAAUCAAGGAUUGACGGG
rnacentral:rRNA from 1 species